rnacentral:rRNA from 1 species
UUGAACGCUGGCGGAAUGCUUUACACAUGCAAGUCGAACGGCAGCACGGACUUCGGUCUGGUGGCGAGUGGCGAACGGGUGAGUAACAUAUCGGAACGUAUCCAAUAAUGGGGGAUAACUAAUCGAAAGGUUGGCUAAUACCGCAUACGCCCUACGGGGGAAAGCUAGGGACCUUCGGGCCUGGCGUUAAUGGAGCGGCCGAUAUCUGAUUAGCUAGUUGGUGGGGUAAAGGCCCACCAAGGCGACGAUCAGUAGCUGGUCUGAGAGGACGACCAGCCACACUGGAACUGAGACACGGUCCAGACUCCUACGGGAGGCAGCAGUGGGGAAUUUUGGACAAUGGGCGCAAGCCUGAUCCAGCCAUUCCGCGUGAGUGAAGAAGGCCUUCGGGUUGUAAAGCUCUUUCGCAAGGGAAGAAAACUUAUCCUCUAACAUAGGAUGAGGUUGACGGUACCUUGAUAAGAAGCACCGGCUAACUACGUGCCAGCAGCCGCGGUAAUACGUAGGGUGCGAGCGUUAAUUGGAAUUACUGGGCGUAAAGCGUGCGCAGGCGGUUUUGUAAGUCAGAUGUGAAAUCCCCGAGCUCAACUUGGGAACUGCGUUUGAAACUACAAGACUAGAAUAUGUCAGAGGGGGGUAGAAUUCCACGUGUAGCAGUGAAAUGCGUAGAGAUGUGGAGGAAUACCAAUGGCGAAGGCAGCCCCCUGGGAUAAUAUUGACGCUCAUGCACGAAAGCGUGGGGAGCAAACAGGAUUAGAUACCCUGGUAGUCCACGCCCUAAACGAUGUCUACUAGUUGUUGGUGGAGUAAA